AACGAACGCUGGCGGCAGGCUUAACACAUGCAAGUCGAACGAGACCUUCGGGUCUAGUGGCGCACGGGUGAGUAAUACUUGGGAACGUACCUUUCAGUUCGGAAUAACGUCGGGAAACUGACGCUAAUAUCGAAUAUUCCCUCCGGGGGAAAGAUUUAUCGCUGAAAGAUCGGCCCAAGCCAGAUUAGCUUGUUGGUGGGGUAAUGGCCUACCAAGGCAACGAUCUGUAGCUGUUCUGAGAGGAAGACCAGCCACACUGGGACUGAGACACGGCCCAG
rnacentral:rRNA from 1 species